UACAGAGGUCCCAAGCGUUGUUCGGAUUCACUGGGCGUAAAGGGUGCGUAGGUGGUCGGGUAAGUCUGAUGUGAAAUCUCUGGGCUCAACCCAGAAAUGGCAUUGGAUACUAUCCGGCUAGAGGAGUGGAGGGGGAACUGGAAUACUUGGUGUAGCAGUGAAAUGCGUAGAUAUCAGGAGGAACACCUGCGGUGUAGACGGCUUACUGGACCAUAACUGACGCUGAGGCACGAAAGCGUGGGUAGCAAACAGG
rnacentral:rRNA from 1 species